CAGCCGUAAACUAUGCUCGCUAGGUGUCAGGCAUGGCGCGACCGUGUCUGGUGCCGCAGGGAAGCCGUGAAGCGAGCCACCUGGGAAGUACGGCCGCAAGGCUGAAACUUAAAGGAAUUGGCGGGGGGUGCACAACAACGGGUGGAGCCUGCGGUUUAAUUGGACUCAACGCCGGACAACUCACCGGGGACGACAGCAAUAUGUAGGCCAGGCUGAAGACCUUGCCUGAAUCGCUGAGAGGUGGUGCAUGGCGUAGACGUCU
rnacentral:rRNA from 1 species